GCCCUCAUAGCUCAACGGAUAGAGCGCAAGCUUGCGGAGCUUGAAAUCGAGGUUCGAUUCCCCGUGAGGGCA
rnacentral:tRNA from 2 species